rnacentral:rRNA from 1 species
AUUGAACGCUGGCGGCAUGCUUUACACAUGCAAGUCGAACGGUAACAGGCCGCAAGGUGCUGACGAGUGGCGAACGGGUGAGUAAUGCACAGGAACGUGCCCAGUCGUGGGGGAUAACGCAGCGAAAGCUGCGCUAAUACCGCAUACGAUCUAUGGAUGAAAGCGGGGGACCGUAAGGCCUCGCGCGAAUGGAGCGGCGGAUGUCAGAUUAGGUAGUUGGUUGGGUAAAGGCUCACCAAGCCAACGAUCUGUGGCUGGUCUGAGAGGAUGGUCAGCCACACUGGGACUGAGACACGGCCCAGACUCCAACGGGAGGCAGCAGUGGGGAAUUUUGGACAAUGGACGCAAGUCUGAUCCAGCCAUUCCGCGUGCAGGAUGAAGGCCUUCGGGUUGUAAACUGCUUUUGUACGGAACGAAAAGGUCCUGGUUAAUACCUGGGGCUCAUGACGGUACCGUAAGAAUAAGCACCGGCUAACUACGUGCCAGCCGCCGCCGUAAAAC